UGCCCUUAGAGUUUGAUCCUGGCUCAGGACGAACGCUGGCGGCGUGCUUAACACAUGCAAGUCGAACGGUGACGAGGAGCUUGCUCCUCCGAUCAGUGGCGAACGGGUGAGUAACACGUGAGUAACCUGCCCCAGACUCUGGGAUAACAGUUGGAAACAGCUGCUAAUACCGGAUAUGAGACGGAGAGGCAUCUCUACCGUCUGGAAAGUUUUUCGGUCUGGGAUGGACUCGCGGCCUAUCAGCUUGUUGGUGAGGUAAUGGCUCACCAAGGCGACGACGGGUAGCCGGCCUGAGAGGGCGACCGGCCACACUGGGACUGAGACACGGCCCAGACUCUUACGGGAGGCAGCAGUGGGGAAUAUUGCACAAUGGGCGAAAGCCUGAUGCAGCGACGCCGCGUGAGGGAUGACGGCCUUCGGGUUGUAAACCUCUUUCAGCAGGGAAGAAGCGAAAGUGACGGUACCUGCAGAAGAAGCACCGGCUAACUACGUGCCAGCAGCCGCGGUAAUAAGGGCA
rnacentral:rRNA from 1 species